rnacentral:rRNA from 1 species
UACGUAGGGCGCAAGCGUUGUCCGGAAUUAUUGGGCGUAAAGAGCUCGUAGGCGGUUUGUCGCGUCUGCUGUGAAAGUCCGAGGCUCAACCUCGGAUCUGCAGUGGGUACGGGCAGACUAGAGUGUGGUAGGGGAGACUGGAAUUCCUGGUGUAGCGGUGGAAUGCGCAGAUAUCAGGAGGAACACCAAUGGCGAAGGCAGGUCUCUGGGUCGACACUGACGCUCAUGCACGAAAGCGUGGGGAGCAAACAGG